CUCCCCUUGUACUCACCGCACUGUGGCACCUUCACUCUCUCAAUCUCAAGCCUUCUCCUGUCCCCGCCGUCUCCCUUCCAUCGACGGCGCCGCCGCAUACUCCUAUCCCCUCCACCGCGUCGGCCGGCCCUUCCUCUCCUCGCCAUCUCUCCUCCAUGUUGCGCGCCGAGCCCACCAUCCCUUCCCAUGUUGUACUCGGCCGCAUCUUCCUGGCUCGAUUGGUUCGAUCUGCUGCCAUCCACGUCCGUCAGGUUAUUCCGGCGGUGCAGCGGCGGCGAAGCUUGGCGCGACGAUGGAGCCUCCCUGUCUGGCGAUGGGGUGGGAGUCGGAUAGGCGUGCGGCGGUGAUUGUGCGAUCACGGAGACAUCUCUGCAGUCCCGAUGGCGUCGCUGCUGCAGUGGUUCCAUUCCGGCGGCAUCGUCGAUCCGUUCAAAACGGGGCUCGUCCAUGGGGUGGCCUGCCUAUCAAGACAGAGGCGUGGCCCGACAUCGUUAUUGCUCAAAUUCAGUGCGUUUCUCGCAACGGAUUACUGGGAAGAUGAAGCAAUGGCCCUCUUUCCUCUCCAUCAGUACAAUUUUACAGGCUAAUCAACUCGAUGGGCACCUUAGAAAGAGAGGUUAUCACUCUUCUACGCUGAGCAUGCCGACAGGAGCUUCUUCAACAGUCUGGUGAAGCACACCAUUUUGGAUCAAUUCCUCGCAUAGACCCGCAUUGAGGGAGGAGGACGCAGAGGCCGACAACAAGGAGCGGGUGUGGGUGUUCAUCCUCGCCACUGACCACAAGUGCUGCGAUAAAUUUUGAGAAGAAUUCUAUGCCUCCACUGAUCCUGGACCUUAUGAUAUCUACCUAUAACCAGUGAUACGUUUCUGCCUUUUGGCUGGAUGUCUACUUCUUCUCUCAAGGCCACAGUAGCCAGUAGGUGCGGGCAGGUGUGGCUAGGAAGAAGGUCCCGGAGGCAGCGGACUGGACAUCGGGUGUGAGCGGCCGAAGAGACUGGGACCGGCGAGUGGCAACAGCUGGCUGGAUGCGGCGGGAUGAGCCGGUAGAAGAAAGCAGGUAAGCAGCGGCGGCCUACAUGUCUAUGGUUGGUACAUGCCGCCAUCUAAAACACUUACAAUGAACAUCAAUGUUUCUGAGCUUUGCUUGUUGAGCCUGUCGUUGCCAUGUAAGCCAGCCACGAAGUGUUCAGAAAAUAUCUGAAGUUAUAUUCUACAGUAGAAUCUAAUCACCUUAUUGUGGUUGUUUUCUGUGUCAGUCAUUAUUUGGAUAACAUCCUAUUGGAGAAUAUCGGUGAUGUUAAGACAUUGCAAGCAUUAUUUGAACUCGAAGCACUUCUUCUUACAAGUAUGCUCAUUUUAUAAUCGUUUCCUUGGUUGUGGUGGAUUAUUUAGUGAAUAUAAUUCCUUUUUUAGGUCAUUGCAUGAAAAAUAAGAAUACUUAUAUCACUGAAUUACUGGUGAUUUUCUAUCGGAAGCUAGUUCAGUUAGGCGCUUCUAACGUCUUAAGCUCUAUUUCUCUUCAGUUGCCCUUAAUUACCAGAUGUUGGGUAUUUUCUUCCAUGAAACUGCUCUUCAGUUUGAUAUAAUCUGCAGGAGCAAUCCAGGAGCAUGGCGUGUCACCUAUGUCCUAAUCAAGUGUGUAAUCUCCUAUUGAUUUUGCCUACUGAAUUAUAACAAGUUUUGAACUUUGUUGACUGAUUUUCCUUAUCCUGCUUGUUAGCUUUUCAUGUCAUUCUGCACGCUGCUCAUAGUGUGCAUUCCUUGUUAUUUGCUAAUGGUUGUACUGUACAAAGCUUGGUCUGUUAUUGAAACACAUAAGUGCGGCAGCAAAUUCAUAAUGUGCAUUUCUUGUUAUUUACUAAUGGUUGUACUAAACAAAGCAUGGUCGAAACACAUCCUUUAGUGGGGCACACUUAUAUAUGUCGAUUUUUCCUCCAGCUGUGUAUUACAUAUUGUGAUAAUUGUACGAAGGCUGCCAUAAAAGACACACAUGUCUUUAGAUCAGCAAUAUGCCAGGCAAAUAAUGGUCGAAACACAUACCUUAAUUUCUACUCUGUGUUCAGGCCCUAGCAGAGCUUGAACCUUCUUCAACAAAUAAUGGUAACCGAGUCUUAGUCGUCACUGGACCACAAUUCUUGAUAUCCUUCCAUGGACACUGGAAGUAAUAUGAGCUACAGAUAUGCAUCUCAAUGGGGGGUUAUUUCUUUCCUCAACAAGUUAUAGUAUAACAGGAGAGGUAAAGUGAACACACACCUUUGGUUUUAUGGUUCAUAGAACGUCACUGUAAUAUGUUUUAGGCUAAGCCGAAGCGGCGUUGGCACUGAAGAACUUCAGUCUUAUUCUGGAGUCUGAUGCAUUACAAAUUAUUGCUGUAUAUUGAUCUUGUACUCACAUGAAUAGGGUAAUGAUGCUGACCUGUGGCUUCACCUUCCAUGGAAAACUCUGGCACACCUUCCAUGGAAAACUCUGACUUGCCAGGAGGUGGUCGUCGCUUCCAGAGAUCGUCGCCGAUCCAGUAGUCGCUUCAAGAGACCGUCUCUCGAUCUGGUCGUCGCUUCCAGAGAUCGUCGCCCAGCCCGGUCGUCGCUUCCAGGGAUGGGGAUGCCUUCACCAAAUGAGGCAAAAUCUGGCUCGCAGAUAUGGGUCGUCCAUCUGGAAGGUUUCGGUUGUAUACAUGGAAAGAAUCCAACUUGAUAUGUGGAAGGUCUAGGCUGCAUACACGGAAAGACUACGUGAUCAUGAAUUGUGAUAUGAUUUCUACUAUACAUGGAAUACAUGUUAUGUGCAAAAGGAAAAGAAUUUGUUA